ACCGUUUGCCUUUGGUUCAGUGGUAGAAUGCUCGCCUGCCACGCGGGCGCCCCGGGUUCGAUUCCCAGCCGAUGGUU
rnacentral:tRNA from 1 species